GAUGAACGCUGGCGGCGUGCCUAAUACAUGCAAGUCGAGCGAACAGACGAGGAGCUUGCUCCUCUGACGUUAGCGGCGGACGGGUGAGUAACACGUGGAUAACCUACCUAUAAGACUGGGAUAACUUCGGGAAACCGGAGCUAAUACCGGAUAAUAUAUUGAACCGCAUGGUUCAAUAGUGAAAGACGGUUUUGCUGUCACUUAUAGAUGGAUCCGCGCCGCAUUAGCUAGUUGGUAAGGUAACGGCUUACCAAGGCAACGAUGCGUAGCCGACCUGAGAGGGUGAUCGGCCACACUGGAACUGAGACACGGUCCAGACUCCUACGGGAGGCAGCAGUAGGGAAUCUUCCGCAAUGGGCGAAAGCCUGACGGAGCAACGCCGCGUGAGUGAUGAAGGUCUUCGGAUCGUAAAACUCUGUUAUUAGGGAAGAACAAAUGUGUAAGUAACUGUGCACGUCUUGACGGUACCUAAUCAGAAAGCCACGGCUAACUACGUG
rnacentral:rRNA from 1 species